GACGAACGCUGGCGGCGCGCCUAACACAUGCAAGUCGAACGAGCGAGAGAGAGCUUGCUUUCUCAAGCGAGUGGCGAACGGGUGAGUAACGCGUGAGGAACCUGCCUCAAAGAGGGGGACAACAGUUGGAAACGACUGCUAAUACCGCAUAAGCCCACAGGUCGGCAUCGACCAGAGGGAAAAGGAGCAAUCCGCUUUGAGAUGGCCUCGCGUCCGAUUAGCUAGUUGGUGAGGUAACGGCCCACCAAGGCAACGAUCGGUAGCCGGACUGAGAGGUUGAACGGCCACAUUGGGACUGAGACACGGCCCAGACUCCUACGGGAGGCAGCAGUGGGGAAUAUUGCACAAUGGGGGAAACCCUGAUGCAGCGACGCCGCGUGGAGGAAGAAUGUCUUCGGAUUGUAAACUCCUGCUGUUGAGGAAGAUAAUGACGGUACUCAACAAGGAAGUGACGGCUAACUACGUG
rnacentral:rRNA from 1 species